rnacentral:rRNA from 1 species
GACGAACGCUGGCGGCGUGCCUAAUACAUGCAAGUAGAACGCUGAAGCGAGGAGCUUGCUCUUCUUGGAUGAGUUGCGAACGGGUGAGUAACGCGUAGGUAACCUGCCUGGUAGCGGGGGAUAACUAUUGGAAACGAUAGCUAAUACCGCAUAAAAUGGAUUAUCGCAUGAUAAUCCAUUGAAAGGUGCAAAUGCAUCACUACCAGAUGGACCUGCGUUGUAUUAGCUAGUUGGUGGGGUAACGGCUCACCAAGGCGACGAUACAUAGCCGACCUGAGAGGGUGAUCGGCCACACUGGGACUGAGACACGGCCCAGACUCCUACGGGAGGCAGCAGUAGGGAAUCUUCGGCAAUGGACGGAAGGCUGACCGAGCAACGCCGCGUGAGUGAAGAAGGUUUUCGGAUCGUAAAGCUCGGUUGUAAGAGAAGAACGAGUGUGAGAGUGGAAAGUUCACACUGUGACGGUAUCUUACCAGAAAGGGACGGCUAACUACGUG